rnacentral:tRNA from 1 species
GAAGGCAUAGCUCAGUGGUAGAGUGUGUGCUUAGCAUGCACAAGGUCCUGGGUUUGAUCCCCAGUACCUCCA